UACGUAGGGGGCAAGCGCUGUCCGGAAUUAUUGGGCGUAAAGCGCGCGCAGGCGGUUCUUUAAGUCUGAUGUGAAAGCCCACGGCUCAACCGUGGAGGGUCAUUGGAAACUGGGGAACUUGAGUACAGAAGAGGAAAGCGGAAUUCCACGUGUAGCGGUGAAAUGCGUAGAGAUGUGGAGGAACACCAGUGGCGAAGGCGGCUUUCUGGUCUGUAACUGACGCUGAGGCGCGAAAGCGUGGGGAGCAAACAGG
rnacentral:rRNA from 1 species